rnacentral:rRNA from 1 species
CCUACGGGAGGCAGCAGUGGGGGAUAUUGCACAAUGGGGGGAACCCUGAUGCAGCGACGCCGCGUGGGUGAAGAAGCGCCUCGGCGCGUAAAGCCCUGUCAGUAGGGAAGAAAAUGACGGUACCUGAAGAAGAAGCUCCGGCUAACUACGUGCCAGCAGCCGCGGUAAUACGUAGGGGGCAAGCGUUAUCCGGAUUUACCGGGCGUACAGGGGGCGCAGACGGGGUUGCAAGCCAGUAGUGAAAGCCCGAGGCCCAACCCCGGGACUGCUCUUGAAACUGGGUGGCUGGAGUGCAGUCGGGGUAGGCGGAAUUCCUGGUGUAGCGGUGAAAUGCGUAGAUAUCAGGAAGAACACCGAUGGCGAAGGCAGCCUACUAAACUGCAACUGACAUUGAGGCCCGAAAGCGUGGGGAGCAAACAGGAUUAGAUACCCCAGUAGUC